CCUACGGGUGGCAGCAGUGGGGAAUAUUGGACAAUGGGGGGAACCCUGAUCCAGCCACGCCGCGUGUGUGAAGAAGGCCCUCGGGUUGUAAAGCACUUUCAGUGAGGAAGAACGUCUGGUGGUUAAUACCCAUCAGGAAAGACAUCACUCACAGAAGAAACACCGGCCUAACUCCGGGCCAGCAGCCGCGGUAAUACGGAGGGUGCGAGCGUUAAUCGGAAUUACUGGGCGUAAAGCGCGCGUAGGUGGCUUGAUAAGCCGGUUGUGAAAGCCCCGGGCUCAACCUGGGAACGGCAUCCGGAACUGUCAAGCUAGAGUGCAGGAGAGGAAGGUAGAAUUCCCGGUGUAGCGGUGAAAUGCGUAGAGAUCGGGAGGAAUACCAGUGGCGAAGGCGGCCUUCUGGACUGACACUGACACUGAGGUGCGAAAGCGUGGGUAGCAAACAGGAUUAGAUACCCCUGUAGUC
rnacentral:rRNA from 1 species